rnacentral:tRNA from 1 species
GGGGUUGUGGCUCAGUGGUAGAGCGCUUGCCUAGCACGCACGAGGCACUGGGUUUGAUCCUCAGCACCA